CACGUUUUAAGCGAGUCCAGUCCCGCCCGUGCAUCCCUUCGGCCUCCAGACAGCAACAGUAGCAAUGGCGGUGGACGGUCUGGUGUCGCUGCGCUGGAGCAACCACUCGUCCUCCUUCCUCAAGCAGCUCUCCUUCCUGCGGGACAAGGAGACGUACAGUGACCUGACCCUGGUGUGCGGCGGCCAGUUCUACCAGGUGCACCGGCUGGUGGUGUCCGGCUGCAGCGAGUACUUCCGUGCCAUCCUGGAGCAC